UGGGGAAUCUUGCGCAAUGGCCGAAAGGCUGACGCAGCGACGCCGCGUGGGGGAUGAAGCAUUUCGGUGUGUAAACCCCUGUUGCCCGGGACGAAUCCCUGGUUUCGACCAGGUUGACGGUACCGGGUGAGGAAGCACCGGCUAACUCCGUGCCAGCAGCCGCGGUAAUACGGAGGGUGCGAGCGUUGUCCGGAAUCACUGGGCGUAAAGGGCGCGUAGGCGGCGCGGGAAGUCCGUGGUGAAAGCCCGAGGCUCAACUUCGGGUCGGCCAUGGAUACUCCUGGGCUUGAGCACUGUAGAGGCAGGUGGAAUUCCGGGUGUAGCGGUGGAAUGCGUAGAGAUCCGGAAGAACACCGGUGGCGAAGGCGGCCUGCUGGGCAGUAGCUGACGCUGAGGCGCGACAGCGUGGGGAGCAAACAGGAUUAGAUACCCUGGUAGUCCACGCCGUAAACGAUGGGUACUAGGUGCUUGGGGGAGCGA
rnacentral:rRNA from 1 species